CCUACGGGUGGCAGCAGUGAGGAAUAUUGGUCAAUGGACGCAAGUCUGAACCAGCCAUGUCGCGUGCAGGAAGACGGCCCUAUGAGUUGUAAACUUCUUUUGUACGAGGGUAAACGCAGAUACGCGUAUCUGUCUGCAAGUAUCUUACGAAUAAGGAUCGGCUAACUCCGUGCCAGCAGCCGCGGUAAUACGGAGGAUUCGAGCGUUAUCCGGAUUUAUUGGGUUUAAAGGGUGCGUAGGCGGGUGGAUAAGUUAGUUGUGAAAUUCUGAGGCUCAACUUUGGAAUUGCCAUUGAUACUGGUAGGCUAGAGAGUAGUUGCGGUAGGCGGAAUGUGUGGUGUAGCGGUGAAAUGCUUAGAGAUCAUACAGAACACCGAUUGCGAAGGCAGCUUACCAAGCUACUACUGACGUUGAGGCACGAAAGCGUGGGGAGCAAACAGGAUUAGAUACCCGAGUAGUC
rnacentral:rRNA from 1 species